CGCUAAGAAGCUUUAAGAUGAAGCAACAGCCUUUUAAGCUGUAGACAGGUGAUUCCGCCCACCCUUAACGA
rnacentral:tRNA from 1 species